UUUUGAGCAGCAGAAGGGAGCUUUUACUUUGAUUUAGCUCAAAAUGGGGUGGAAAAGUUAUCAGAAACUCAUUCAUCAGUGGAGAAUUCUCAGAGGAGAUAAUGUCAUGAUUAUCAGAGGAAAAGAUAGAGGCGAGACCGGCGUUGUCAAGCGUGUCGUACGUUCUCAAAACCGUGUAAUUGUCGAGGGGAAAAACCUGGUCAAGAAACAUAUCAAACAAGGGCAAGGUCAUGAAGGUGGAAUAUUUACAGUUGAAGCCCCGCUGCAUGUUUCCAAUGUUCAGGUUGUAGAUCCAGUCACAGGAAAACCAACCAAGGUCGGAAUUAGAUACCUGGAGGAUGGCUCCAAAGUAAGAGUCUCAAGAGGUAUAGGAGCAUCUGGCUCUAUCAUUCCCCGGCCUGAGAUCUUAAAAAUAAGGACCACACCAAGGCCUACAGUUGCUGGUCCUAAGGAUACUCCAAUGGAGGUUGUUAUGGAGAGGACAUAUGAUCCAAAAACAGGAAAAGGCAUGCCAGAUCUCUAAAGAAAAUGUGGUGUACCUAAUGCAUCACUUUGUGAGAACACUGUUGUUACUUAUUUCAUUGAAGGAACUCACACUGUUUGGCUUUAGACCAACGGAAUUUGCUACAGAUAAAUAGUGUUAACCGCUAAAAUUAUGGUAUACUUGAAAAGUUUUUAGCAGUUGUUGAA
rnacentral:misc_RNA from 1 species